rnacentral:rRNA from 1 species
GACGAACGCUGGCGGCGUGCCUAACACAUGCAAGUCGAACGGAGAUACGAUUUCGGUUGUAUCUUAGUGGCGAACGGGUGAGUAACGCGUGAGCAACCUGACUCUUAGAGGGGGAUAACACCUGGAAACAAGUGCUAAUACCGCAUAAGACCACGACAUGGCAUCAUGACGAGGUCAAAGGAGCAAUCCGCUGAGAGAGGGGCUCGCGUCCCAUUAGAUAGAUGGCGGGGUAACGGCCCACCAUGUCAGCGAUGGGUAGCCGAGCUGAGAGGCUGAUCGGCCACACUGGAACUGAGACACGGUCCAGACUCCCACGGGAGGCAGCAGUGGGAAAUAUUGGGCAAUGGGCGCAAGCCUGACCCAGCAACGCCGCGUGAGGGAAGAAGGCUUUCGGGUUGUAAACCUCUGUCCUUGGUGACGAAAAAAAUGACGGUAGCCAAGGAGGAAGCCCCGGCUAACUACGUGCCAGCCGCCGCAGUAA